rnacentral:rRNA from 1 species
GAUGAACGCUGACAGAAUGCUUAACACAUGCGAGUCGAUGGGGAAGUGGUGCUUGCACCAUGGCAACCAUGGCGGACGGGUGAGUAACGCGUAAGGGACUUACCUGCAGGACUGGGAUAACAGGGGGAAACUCCUGACAAGACCGGAUAAUGUCAUGGAGCUGCAUGGCUUUAUGAUGAAAGGAGACGCCUGCGGAGAGCCUUGCGUCCUAUUAGCUAGUUGGUGAGGUAAUGGCUCACCACGGCGAAGAUAGGUAGCCGGCCUGAGAGGGUGGACGGCCACGAGGGGACUGAGAUACGGCCCUGACUCCUACGGGAGGCAGCAGUGGGGAAUAUUGGACAAUGGGGGCAACCCUGAUCCAGCAAUUCUGUGUGCACGAAGAAGGUUUUCGGAUUGUAAAGUGCUUUCAGCAGGGAAGAAGUAAGUGACGGUACCUGCAGAAGAAGCGACGGCUAAAUACGUG